rnacentral:miRNA from 1 species
ACGCCAUGACGCUGACAUCAGGAC